GCAUUUACCUAGAGCAUUUUAUUUUCAAGGGAAAUAAUUGUGGUCUGACUGUAUUAUUUUGAAAAUCACAGUUGAGAUUUUUUCAUGUGUGCACCGGUACAGUUUUGCGGGGAAGCGAAAGUUGCUGGAAGUUUGUCUUCUUCUAAAAACAAGUGUCUGAUACAUGUAGUUGCAGUCUGUCUUUGGAAGCUGUAGAAAUAACAAGAAAGAGGCUGACAUAGUGUUUUGGUAGGGAAAAGUUUGAGUAUGUACAGUUGUUUGACCUGUCUUACCCUGUGGCAGUCCAAGAAGAUGUUUCCAUUAUGAAAAAAUGCAGGAGAACUUGAAGACAAUGGUUAGUGCAGAAGGGACAUAAAAGUUAUGAUAAAAGUAACAGAUAUAGAUAAGAAGUGCUACAAGUGUGUUGUCAUGUGAAAUGGACUUUACCCCAACUGUGCUGCAUGAUGUAUAUUCAAGUGCGAGACAGCCAUGCACCAGCUGUAAACUGAGAUGGACCCAUAUAAUAAAUAUAUUGACUUUCUAUGUAUUAUCAUCUGUACAGAAUGUGUUCAUGACAAGACUGUAUACAUUAUAUGUUAAAUCAUUUUUUAUUUCCAUUAUUGCAAUGCAUGUAAGAAGCAAGCAUUUAACAAUUGCAUUCAUAGAAAUGUUAAAAUGUGAUCAAUCUAAUUUAAAGAAAAACAUUUAAUUGGGCUUUUUAAGUUUCAUAGUAUUUGUGGUGGAGAAUGACCCAAUCAGCAACUUAUACUGUCUGUGUGUCAUUUCUUGUAUGUUAUAGUUUUCUUAAUAAAACAUUAAAUGUCAAAGUUAUGGUAAGAUGAACUCAUUCAUCACUUGUAGAUUAAUGUUAAAGCAGUUCAACAUUUUACCAUAAGUUAACUAAUAUUCUAUUUAACCAGA